rnacentral:rRNA from 1 species
GAUGAACGCUGACAGAAUGCUUAACACAUGCAAGUCAACUUGAACUUCGGUUUGGGUGGCGGACGGGUGAGUAACGCGUAAAGAACUUGCCUCACAGAUAGGGACCACAUUUGGAAACGAAUGCUAAUACCUGAUAUUAUGAUUAUAUGGCAUCGUAUAAUUAUGAAAGCUAUAUGCGCUGUGAGAGAGCUUUGCGUCCCAUUAGCUAGUUGGCGAGGUAACGGCUCACCAAGGCGAUGAUGGGUAGCCGGCCUGAGAGGGUGAUCGGCCACAAGGGGACUGAGACACGCCCGUUACCCCUACGGGAGGCAGCAGUGGGGAAUAUUAGACAAUGGACCAAGAGUCUGAUGCAGCAACUCUGUGUGGAAGAUGAAGUUUUUCGGAAUGUAAAGUGCUUUCAGUUGGGAAGAAAAAAAUGACGGUACCAACAGAAGAAGGGACGCCUAAAUACGU